UGCGCAGGCGGUUUUGUAAGUCAGAUGUGAAAUCCCCGAGCUCAACUUGGGAACUGCGUUUGAAACUACAAGACUAGAAUAGGUCAGAGGGGGGUAGAAUUCCACGUGUAGCAGUGAAAUGCGUAGAGAUGUGGAGGAAUAUCAAUGGCGAAGGCAGCCCCCUGGGAUCAUAUUGACGCUCAUGCACGAAAGCGUGGGGAGCAAACAGGAUUAGAUACCCUGGUAGUCC
rnacentral:rRNA from 1 species